AACAAACUCGGGUUCCUCUUUCCACCAUGAAGAUCUCUUAUCUGCUAGUUGUGCUUUUGUUGGGGUCUUUGCUAGCAUUUGACAUGACGGGCGCUCAUCGUCAUCGCCGAUGUCGUCGCCAUCGCCAUAGACGUCACCGUCGUCAUCGACACCAUGGUUGACCUAUAGGUGCAUACUCUAUCUGUAACAGGCCAAGAUCCUCGUAAAAUGACAACACUCCAUAUACUUCGGAUGAAUGUACACGUACACAUUAAUAAACAGA